AGGUGCCCUAUUAUAGAUUGAGAGCCAGACCUGGAAUCCAGAAAUCCUAGGUUCAAAUAUGACCUCAAGCACUUCCUAACUAUGUGACCCUGGGUAAAUUACUUAACUCCAUUUGCCUAACCAUUACUCUCUUCUGCAUUGGAACUAAUACUUAGUACUGAUUCUGAGAUGUAGGGCAAGGGUUUAAAAAAAAAGAAGUCAGGCCUGUAAAAGAAAGCUAGGUCAGUCUGUGGUUCCCAGAACAGAAAUUGGAAGAAUACCAUCUAGAGUCCCCACAGAUGAUCCUGCACUGCCACAUACAGUAUGUUCUGGUCCCAGAAGAAGAAACUUACCUGUUCUAUCAUGAUCUUUUGUGAUAAAUUGUUUAUGUAGAAAAGAAACAAAUGUUUGUGGGACCAAACUAGAAAAGCAAGAGGUCAAAGAAUACUUCUGAUAUCAUUCUACCAUGGGAAGAGAGGGAGGAGAGCCUGAUGAUAUCUGGAUGUUUUGAAGGUUGGAAAAAAAAUGAAACUGAAGAAUUGGGAGGCCCUCUUUGGGAUUUAGUUCAUCAGCCAAAAUGCCUCCAAUUUGAAAGUACAUCUUAUGCCGGAUAAGAGCUUCUCUGGGGAAGACCAGCCAACGCCGGGGAAAUGGAGUAGGAAAUUCUUCAUUCCCAAUAAAGGACCAUAAAAUGAAACCAUGAAAUUGGUUUUCACUUCGGUUUGGGACUUCGUAAGGAACGCAGCUUUGCUUUGUAACGCUUCUGCCUACAUGUACUGGCCAGCACUGUCUAGCUCGGAGGGCUCCUGGCCCUCACCUCACACUCCAUCUCACAGGCGAUCCGCUCUCCAGACCAGGAGGGCUUCCCCCUUACACUUGACUUGUAGAACCCCAAGGGGUUUCCAGAACUCAACGAAUUUUUCCCAGUGCCUCCCUCGGAUCCCUUUUUUAAAAAUCUUGACAAUUUAUACUCAUUAUCAAAUGAUAUAAUAUUUGCGAAGGCUUAGCGAGGGGCCCUGGCCCACAGUAGAGAAUAGGCUGUCCAACUACUCAAAUAAAUCUUCCGACACUCUC